rnacentral:lncRNA from 1 species
GAUCAAUGUUUACAGGCAACAAUAAGAACAAAAAUAGAUUAGAUUACAUCAAAAUUUAAAACUGGGGCUGGGGUAUAGCUCAGUGGUAAAGCACUUGCUCAGCAUAAUUUUACAACUCUUUAAAAAUGGUACUUUGUAUUCAUGUAUAUGAUUUCAAGAGAAAAAAAGUUCUUUGGAAUAAAAAAAUAAAAACAAAUAAAAAACCUAGUUUCAGUCCUGAUACCAUCUAUCUGUGUUAAAUUUGGAAGUCAUUCCAUUUCACUGAAUUUCAAUAUCCUCCACUGUAAAAGUUGAGAAAAUAAUAUAUAAUUGAAAAGGUAUUUGACAACUACAUGACAUUACUUUUAUAUAAGCACAACUCAUAGUACUAGUAAAUAAAUUUAAUAAAUCUUGAUUUUAUAUUCUCCUUCCAUUUCUACGAGAAUGAAGUUUCAUAGAGGGGAAAAAUUGUGUAUUAUACAUUUUUCAGGUGGCCUAAUAACUUAGGGCAGUAUCAGAGAAGACAGCCAAGAAGGCAAAAAGAUUGACUGUUUGCUUAAGAAUGUGCACAGAACACAUGUGGUAGAAAUAAAUGUCUUAGAGUAAAUGACCAAUUGUGGUGAGCAAAAGUCAUUGCAAUUUGAGGCCUGUAGAAAAGGUCUAAGUCAUAGGUUACUUAGUCUGGAAAAGAAAAGCUUGGGAUGACUUUAGUAACUAAGUUCUAGCACACAUUUAUUAAACAGAGAAGGGUAGGUUUGCAUUCUUUUUCUAUUUUUAUAACUGUUUAUGGUAUAUAUGAAAAAACUCUGCCCAUUAUUUUGGAUACCAUAAUUCCAGUAUUUAUUUAAGAGAAGAUGCAUACAAAAAUAUAGCCACAAUAGGCUAAAAAUAUGGCAUUGUCUCUGUCCAAUCUUCAAUUAUGAGGUCAUAGUUGUAGGAGAUGGGGUUGAGCUGAAGUUAUCUGUGAAAUCAAGAGAAUGAGAGAAAUGUAUUUCUUUCCAAUAGAAAUUUCCUUAGGAGAAUAAAAAGUAAUUCCCUAUAUACUGAAACAUGCAGGCUUAAUGCAAUGAGAGAAAGAACCUACAGUGUCUCUUAAUUUUCACCAAGUUGAACAAUGGUAUAUGCAUAUCCCACAUUAAAUAUUUUUUAAUAAGUGUAAACAAAUAUAGUUAUAGUAAAAACGUUGUAAUAUUUUCUUUUCUCGGGAUCUUUGCUAAGAGGAGUGUCUUUGAAGGAUCCAGAUUUGCUAAGAGUUAAAUUACUUACUCUAACCCUCAACCCUAGAAGCCUGUGAUUCUGUAUGUUAGUGGGGCUGAGCUGCAGACAGGUCUUACAAUGCACAAAUAAGUAACUUGGUUCCUUUUGUUUCCACAUCUCUAUUCAACUGACAUCAGCAAUUAACAUCCUUAUUCCCCAGGAGUCUACAGGAUUCCAGAGCUGUGAGAGUUCACAUCACGUCCAUUGUCCUAACUACAUCUUUAACCCCAAAUCAGUGUAUUUUCUCUUGAGCCCAUUGGGACUUGAUAUGUCACUUCACACAGUGUAAUUUCACAUAAACCAUAAAUGACCUUUAACGCGUCAGUGACUGCAUCAAAUGUUAUGAUAAGUUUUUUAAUGACUGAAUAACUUUGGGACCAUUGUAGGAAUAUAAAAUAUCAAACGGAAACCAGGGAUGAAAUGAGGGUUUAGUAAAAAGGGUUAAAAAGGAUUUUUCUUCUAGCAUCUGUGAAAUCUAUCUGAAAAAAACAAAAGUAUAUUCCUGUGCUUUUCCAACCCCUGUUUUAUGUCUUCUUUUUAGUGUUUAACAUUAUAUAAUCCACAAAAAGCCAAAUGUCUUGAGGCCUACAUCUGCCUAUCAUCAACCACAAUCCAAACCCCACAAAUUCAAUUCCAGAAGCAUGAAGAAUAAUAUAGACAUUGAUUGUAAGUUUUCCUGGAGGGAAAAGCAGGCUUUACACAAAACAUCGAGGCAUACUGAGCAACACACUGCUUGCUUUACCAAUCCAACUCCCAGAUUCCCCACAGACAGCUGAGAAAGCAUUCUGUCCCUCAUAAGCACGGCUUCUCCACGCAGCUCCCUCUCUGCCCGGCCUCUCUUCUCUUUCCACCACAUGCCCUAUACGCAGUCUCUCUGCCAACCAUACCUCUGCAAAGUGCAGCCAAAGAUCAAACUCUCAUCUUUCCCAGCAAGCCCAGCCUCUGAAGAUUCAAGAAAUAAACAUUUAACUACAAAUCAACUUAAUUAAAAAAAAAAUUGUAAAGCUUAUAUAAUCUGUGUUCAAGGCACAUGACUGACACG